GCUAUGAUGAAGGCCUAUGAUUUGAUGAAGCCAAAAUAGUUUUUCUGAGUUAUGAGCAGAAAUACUUGACCCCAAACGUCGUGCUUUAUAUCAAAUUGAAGCUAUUAAAAAUUGCUAUUCGGUGUGGAAAUUUCAAGACUUCAGCGAAAAGAGAAAUAUUUAAAAAAUACAAAAACAACUGCAAAACGGCAAAUUAUCGGUAAUUAUGUUUGUAGUUUUUCAAUAUUUCCCUUUUAGCUAAAGUCUUGAAAUUUCUACACCAAAUAGCGUUUUUCAAUAGCUUCAAUUUGAUAUAUCGCCCAACGUUCAGUGUUGAGUAUUUCUGCUCAUAACUCAGAAAAACUAAAAUACACUGGCUUCAAUUUCCCCCCCUGAGUUAGCCUUCCAGUUUAUUUAUAGUUCAAUGCGCUGACCCAGUGCUUCCAUUUUCAAAAUCAAAAUUUCUCAUUUUUAUCAUCAAAAUUUCU